rnacentral:rRNA from 1 species
CACGUGGGUAACCUGCCCUUGAGAGUGGGACAACACCGGGAAACCGGUGCUAAUACCGCAUAAGACCACGAGCUGGGAUGCUAGUGGUAAAAUGGAUUUAUUCGCUCAAGGAUGGGCCCGCGUCCUAUCAGGUUGUUGGUGGGGUAAAGGCCUACCAAGCCUAUGACGGGUAGCCGGUCUGAGAGGAUGAACGGCCACACUGGAACUGAGACACGGUCCAGACUCCUACGGGAGGCAGCAGUGGGGAAUUUUGCGCAAUGGGGGAAACCCUGACGCAGCGACGCCGCGUGGAGGACGAAGGCCUUCGGGUUGUAAACUCCUUUU